GACGAACGCUGGCGGCGUGCCUAAUACAUGCAAGUAGAACGCUGAAGGAGGAGCUUGCUUCUCUGGAUGAGUUGCGAACGGGUGAGUAACGCGUAGGUAACCUGCCUGGUAGCGGGGGAUAACUAUUGGAAACGAUAGCUAAUACCGCAUAAUAGUAGAUGUUGCAUGACAUUUGCUUAAAAGGUGCAAUUGCAUCACUACCAGAUGGACCUGCGUUGUAUUAGCUAGUUGGUGGGGUAACGGCUCACCAAGGCGACGAUACAUAGCCGACCUGAGAGGGUGAUCGGCCACACUGGGACUGAGACACGGCCCAGACUCCUACGGGAGGCAGCAGGAGGGAAUCUUCGGCAAUGGACGGAAGUCUGACCGAGCAACGCCGCGUGAGUGAAGAAGGUUUUCGGAUCGUAAAGAUCUGUUGUAAGAGAAGAACGAGUGUGAGAGUGGAAAGUUCACACUGUGACGGUAUCUUAACAGAAAGGGACGGCUAACUACGUG
rnacentral:rRNA from 1 species